GAUGAACGCUGGCGGCGUGCCUAAUACAUGCAAGUCGAGCGAACGGACGAGAAGCUUGCUUCUCUGAUGUUAGCGGCGGACGGGUGAGUAACACGUGGAUAACCUACCUAUAAGACUGGGAUAACUUCGGGAAACCGUAGCUAAUACCGGAUAAUAUUUUGAACCGCAUGGUUCAAAAGUGAAAGACGGUCUUGCUGUCACUUAUAGAUGGAUCCGCGCUGCAUUAGCUAGUUGGUAAGGUAACGGCUUACCAAGGCAACGAUGCAUAGCCGACCUGGGAGGGUGAUCGGCCACACUGGAACUGAGACACGGUCCAGAAUCCUACGGGAGGCAGCAGUAGAGAAUCUUCCGCAAUGGGCGAAAGCCUGACAGAGCAACGCCGCGUGAGUGAUGAAGGUCUUCAGAUCGUAAAACUCUGUUAUUAGGGAAGAACAUAUGUGUAAGUAACUGUGCACAUCUUGACGGUACCUAAUCAGAAAGCCACGGCUAACUACGUG
rnacentral:rRNA from 1 species